rnacentral:ncRNA from 2 species
CAAUAAUUUCAAAGCUGUGAUUUACGAUGCUGACGUGCAAGGGAAUCAGGUGAAAGACCUGAACUGUUCCUGCAGCUGUAAUCCACAUUAUGGAGCUAACAUCAGAAAGCCACUGACAUGAAACAAAAGGGUUUCAAGUAUUGUCGGGAAGGCGUUGGCUCUGUGGAAAGUCAGAAUACCUGCCAGAUCACAACUCGUAGA